rnacentral:misc_RNA from 1 species
GAUGAAGAACGUAGCGAAAUGCGAUAAGUAAUGUGAAUUGCAGAAUUCAGUGAAUCAUCGAAUCUUUGAACGCACCUUGCGCUCCUUGGUAUUCCGAGGAGCAUGCCUGUUUGAGUGUCAUGAAAUUAUCAACCUUUUCAGCUUUCUUUGUUGAUCAGGCUUGGAUGUGGGAGUAUGCGGGCUUCUCAGAAGUCGGCUCUCCUGAAAUGCAUUAGCGGGACCUUUGUUGCCUGGCUUUGGUGUGAUAAUUAUCUACGCCAUUGUGGUCAAGCAGCUUAAAAUGAGGUUUCAGCUUCUAACCGUCUCCCCUGAGACAACUUUUUGACAAUUUGACCUCAAAUCAGGUAGGACUACCCGCUGAACUUAAGCAUAUCAAUAAGCGGAGGA